GCCCCUUCUUUAUAAAGAAGCUCCGUGGAGAAAGGCUGGUGGUGGACAUGGUGAAAAUGACAGAUGACUUGCUGUCUCGCUGCCCUGUCAUGCAAGGACUUUGGGGUGUUUGCACAUGAAGAACAGAUGGGGCUUCAUCUAAGGUGUGGGUGUUCUGUGCCAAAGUCACCAACUUGAGAAGCAAAGAGUGAGUUUACCAUGGCUGUCCCAUCCAGGGAACCUACAAAAAGUCAAUAGCACUGAAAUAUGGGGAACACCACAAAUAUGGGGAAACAUUUUACUGAUGUAAAUGAACCAGCCAAACAAGGCAAGUUGCAAUACAAGCUGUUAUACAAACCUUAAUUUUCAUAUGAAACAAAACAGAAUUUUGCUAUUUGAAUAUCCAGGCCAGGAUUUGUUAUAAAUUCACAGACGAAACCAUAAACAUUUGUUGAGAUUAGCGUGGGUGUGGAUUGAUAGUUUGGGAGGUAAGUGGAAGAUUUUCUGAAAACAAAGAAUCCUUGACCCAGAACCCUUUCACCCACUCGUUUAGACCGGUCACACUCAUAUUCACACACACACACACACACACACGCACGCACGCACGCACGCACGCACGCACGCACACACACACACACACACACACACUAAUUUAAAGGAAUUUCACAAAAAUACAUGCAAUGCCUUUCCCCCUCUCUCCUCCGGCACACCCUUAUGUGUCCCAAAGACUACGACACCCAAAGAAGUGUCUUAGCACAUUCUUUUUUUUAAAACAUGUGGAAUCUUCCGAUAAUGAAAAAACUAGGGCCUCGUUUGAAAAGCAGACUAUAAACUUUUGACUGAACGAUAUUUGUUGUAUACUGUGACUCUAAAGCUGAUCAAAAUGAAGUUAUUUUCACAUCUUUAACAUUUUUUGGUUUGAUGCUGCAAAGAAAUUCUAUGUUGUUAAUUUGGUUGUUGAUGUUGCUAAUGUUCUCACAUAUUCUUUCUCUCUCUGUCUUCUGUGAUGGGUAGGUUUAGGGCUAGGGGAUAGAAAAUACAGCCUGUACAGUUUAAAAAUUAUUAUUUCAAUGUAAUGUCUCCAUAAAAGAUGAAAACCCCAAAUUUGUGUGUGCGCAUGUCUUCUUAACACAUUAACAAACAUACAGACAUCUUCUGUCUUAAAGAGGGGAUGCACAUGACAUGAAGCCUUAGGAGAAAUCUCUUAUCAGACAGCAGCGAAACUCAGAUGAAUGGACUGUUCGUUUCUGAGUAGUAUUAACCAGUGAUUUUGACCUUUUUGAAAUAUCCAAUUUACAGUAGGUCCUAUAUGCUAAUAAAGCAGUAUUAGUAUCAAUAUUUGAUCUAUCUGUACCAUGGUGAAAAUCUGUGAAAUAGUGUUCUAAGACUAAACUCUGUAAAGCAUGUGAAAUUGAGUUGAAGACGCAUUGACGUCACCUGACAUCACAAGAAUUUUGAAUAUUGCCCCUGGUACUUGACAAACUGCCAAACCAAGCAAUUUAAAAUCAAGCCUUUCUGUUGCGAGUGCAGAGAUAAAAUAGGGUUUGUUGCCUUUUGUACAGUUUGAACUUGCUAAUAUUUUAUUUAAUGGACUUGAAUUAUUUUCUACACAUACUGUAUUUUGUCAUAAAAUGUAUCCGAAAUUGCUUGUGUUCCUGU